AUGGUGGAAGAUCACGCAGUGCUACGGACCACCCCACGUGGAGGCCGCUGCUCCCUCCUCUGCACUGUUAGAACUAUUCCCUGGGUAAAAUCCUUCCAUCCAUCCAGAUUCCUUGGAACACAUCUAUGUAUAUCCAUACUCAUUUAUGUCGCCACUGGAAUGAUGUCUCUACCAAUAUGAUCCAGUCUGAAGUUUCAUAAGUGGACAAUCAGUG
rnacentral:lncRNA from 1 species